AACGCGAAGAACCUUACCUGGGCUUGACAUGCAGAGUUCAAGCGGUGAGAGCCGCUGGCCGCAAGGCGAUCUGCACAGGUGCUGCAUGGCUGUCGUCAGUUCGUGCCGUGAGGUGUUGGGUUAAGUCCCGCAACGAACGCAACCCUUGUGUUUAGUUGCCACCGGCGUGAUAAACGCCGAGCACUCUAGACAGACUGCCCGUGACAAGCGGGAGGAAGGUGGGGAUGACGUCAAGUCAGUAUGGCCCUUACGUCCAGGGCUGCACACGUGCUACAAUGGCCGGUACAGAGGGCAGCAAGACCGCGAGGUGGAGCAAAUCCUGAAAACCGGCCCCAGUUCAGAUUGAAGGCUGCAACUCGCCUUCAUGAAGCCGGAUUCGCUAGUAAUGGCGUAUCAGCUACGACGCCGUGAAUACGUUCCCGGGUCUUGUACACACGC
rnacentral:rRNA from 1 species